UACGGGGGGAGCAAGCGUUGUUCGGAUUUACUGGGCGUAAAGGGCGCGUAGGCGGCGUAACAAGUCACUUGUGAAAUCUCCGGGCUUAACUCGGAGCGGUCAAGUGAUACUGUUGUGCUAGAGUGCGGAAGGGGCUACUGGAAUUCUCGGUGUAGCGGUGAAAUGCGUAGAUAUCGAGAGGAACACCAAUAGCGAAGGCAGCUCGCUGGGACGGUACUGACGCUGAGGCGCGAAAGCGUGGGGAGCGAACAGG
rnacentral:rRNA from 1 species